rnacentral:rRNA from 1 species
UUUAAAUAGCUGCAGUAUUUUAACUGUACAAAGGUAGCAUAAUAAUUAGUCUUUUAAUUGAGGUCUAGAAUGAAUGGUUUAACAAGAAAAAAUCUUUAUUUAAUAAAUUAAAUUAAAUUUUAUUUUUUAGUUAAAAAGCUAAAAUUUUUAAAUGGGACGAUAAGACCCUAUAGAUCUUUAAAUUUUUAAAAUUAAAUAUAUUUUGGGAAAAAAUAGGGUUUUAAUUAAAAAUUUUUUGUUGGGGUGACAGUUAAAAUUUUAAACCUUUAAUUAUUUAAAACAUGUAUUAAUGAUUAAUAUGAUCCUAAAUUUUGGAUUUUAAAAAUGAGAUACCUUAGGGAUAACAGCGUAAUAAAUUUGUAUAGUUCAUAUAGAUAAAUUUGUUUACGACCUCGAUGUUGAAUUAAUAAAAAUUUUUGGAGCAUAAAUUAAAAUUUUAGGUCUGUUCGACCUUUAAAAUAUUACA